AUUGAACGCUGGCGGCAUGCCUAACACAUGCAAGUCGAACGGUAGCAGGCCCGCAAGGGUGCUGACGAGUGGCGGACGGGUGAGUAAAGCGUAGGGAUCUACCUAUAGGAGUGGGAUAACUUGGGGAAACUCAAGCUAAUACCGCGUAAUACCGAGAGGUUAAAGCAUGGGACUGUAACAGGCCAUGCGUCUAUAGAUGAACCUACGUCAGAUUAGCUAGUUGGUGGGGUAAAGGCCUACCAAGGCGACGAUCUGUAGCAGUUCUGAGAGGAAGGACAGCCACACUGGGACUGAGACACGGCCCAGACUCCUGCGGGAGGCAGCAGGGGGGAAUAUUGGACAAUGGGGGAAACCCUGAUCCAGCAAUGCCGCGUGUGUGAAGAAGGCCUGAGGGUUGUAAAGCACUUUCGGUGGGGAGGAAUGGUAGUGGUGUUAAUAGUACUGCUAUUUGACGUUACCCAAAUAAGAAGCACCGGCUAACUCUGUGCCAGCCGCCGCAGUAA
rnacentral:rRNA from 1 species